AUUGAACGCUGGCGGCAGGCCUAACACGUGCAAGUCGAGCGGAUGAAGGGAGCUUGCUCCUGGAUUCAGCGGCGGACGGGUGAGUAAUGCCUAGGAAUCUGCCUGGUAGUGGGGGAUAACGUCCGGAAACGGGCGCUAAUACCGCAUACGUCCUGAGGGAGAAAGUGGGGGAUCUUCGGACCUCACGCUAUCAGAUGAGCCUAGGUCGGAUUAGCUAGUUGGUGGGGUAAAGGCCUACCAAGGCGACGAUCCGUAACUGGUCUGAGAGGAUGAUCAGUCACACUGGAACUGAGACACGGUCCAGACUCCUACGGGAGGCAGCAGUGGGGAAUAUUGGACAAUGGGCGAAAGCCUGAUCCAGCCAUGCCGCGUGGGUGAAGAAGGUCUUCGGAUUGUAAAGCACUUUAAGUUGGGAGGAAGGGCAGUAAGUUAAUACCUUGCUGUUUUGACGUUACCAACAGAAUAAGCACCGGCUAACUUCGU
rnacentral:rRNA from 1 species